GACGAAGGAUGCAAGCGUUAUCCGGAUUCAUUGGGUUUAAAGGGUGCGUAGGCGGCCAGAUAAGUCAGUGGUGAAAUCCUGUUGCUUAACAACAGAACUGCCAUUGAUACUGUUUGGCUUGAGUAUAGUUGCUGUGGGCGGAAUAUGACAUGUAGUGGUGAAAUACAUAGAGAUGUCAUAGAACACCGAUUGCGAAGGCAGCUCACAAAACUAUAACUGACGCUGAGGCACGAAAGUGCGGG
rnacentral:rRNA from 1 species